AACGAACGCUGGCGGCAUGCCUAACACAUGCAAGUCGAACGAGACCUUCGGGUCUAGUGGCGCACGGGUGCGUAACGCGUGGGAACCUGCCCUUAGGUUCGGAAUAACUCCCCGACAGGGGUGCUAAUACCGGAUAAUGUCUUCGGACCAAAGAUUUAUCGCCUUUGGAUGGGCCCGCGUUGGAUUAGCUAGUUGGUAGGGUAAAAGCCUACCAAGGCGACGAUCCAUAGCUGGUCUGAGAGGAUGAUCAGCCACACUGGGACUGAGACACGGCCCAGACUCCUACGGGAGGCAGCAGGGGGGAAUAUUGGACAAUGGGCGAAAGCCUGAUCCAGCAAUGCCGCGUGAGUGAUGAAGGCCUUAGGGUUGUAAAGCUCUUUUACCCGGGAUGAUAAUGACAGUACCGGGAGAAUAAGCACCGGCUAACUCCGUG
rnacentral:rRNA from 1 species